AAAUUAAAGGGUAGGUUGAGAACUUUGGAAGAUAGAGGGAUAAGAAAAAUAAGUGGAACAGGAAAGGCAUUAGUAAAAACAGAAAAAUAUGAACACAAAGAAAUGAAGACUUAUGAUUCUUCUGGUGACUCCACACCUCCAACCUGUUCUAAAAAAUGCAAAAUAGAACAGGUAGAUAAAGAGGAUGAAAUUACUGAAAAGAAUGCAAAAAAAAAAAGCCAAGAUUAAAGUUAAAGCUGAAGAAGAGGAAUAAGAAGAAAAAGUGGCAGAAGAAGAAACACCUGUGAAGAAGAAGAAGAAAAAAAGGUAAAAAGAAACACAUUAAGGAAGAACCACUUUCUGAGGAAGAACCAUGUACCAGCACAACAAUUCCUAGUCCAGAGAAAAAGAAGAAAAAGAAAAAAAAAGAGAGAUCACAAGAACUAA
rnacentral:lncRNA from 1 species